rnacentral:pre_miRNA from 1 species
AUAUUACUCCCUCCGUUUCAAAAUUCUUGUCUUAGAUUCGUCUAGAUACGGAUGUAUCUAAUACUAAAACAUGACUUGAUACAUCCGUAUUUAGACAAAUUUAAGGCAAGAAUUUUGGGACGGAGGGAGUAUAAA